AGCAGUCGCCGCGGUAAUACGUAGGUCCCGAGCGUUGUCCGGAUUUAUUGGGCGUAAAGCGAGCGCAGGCGGUUAGAUAAGUCUGAAGUUAAAGGCUGUGGCUUAACCAUAGUACGCUUUGGAAACUGUUUAACUUGAGUGCAAGAGGGGAGAGUGGAAUUCCAUGUGUAGCGGUGGAAUGCGUAGAUAUAUGGAGGAACACCGGUGGCGAAAGCGGCUCUCUGGCUUGUAACUGACGCUGAGGCUCGAAAGCGUGGGGAGCAAACAGGAUUAGAUACCCCUGUAGUCCCUGUCUCUUAUACA
rnacentral:rRNA from 1 species